rnacentral:tRNA from 1 species
AUAGAUAUAGCUUAAAUAAAGCACCUUACUGUUGAUAAGAAGAUAUGAAUUUAUCUAU